UUUUAACAAUCCAAUCCGUUUUGUAUAACUGCGGAAAUACGGUCCGCAAGUCUCUACCCUGUCACCUUAAACGACGGGACUACAAAACAAAAAGUGCUUUUU
rnacentral:ncRNA from 2 species